UGCAAUCAUCAUAACAACUUAAUUAAAAGACAGAAUAGUAUCAAAUUUAGAAACAAAAUGUGUCACGCAGUACAGUGAAUAAUACUUAUAUUUAAAAAUUUUUUGGGAAUAGCUGGGAAUCGCUUUCAAUUUAUUAUUUCCACAACCGCCACCCUUCACUGCUGUAAUUCUAAGCCCAUUAUAAAAGUCAAUGAUCACCGAUAUUUGCGUUGUUGCUAUUGUUGACAGACAUUGCGAUUCAAUGUUCUAUUUUUAGGCAUUCGUUUGCAACCGGAGAUUAAUAACAUUAAUUUGCCUCAAUUACGCUUACGUUUCAUUGUGGGUUAUAUCUUGUUUUGCCCCUUUUUUUUUGUCGGAUAUCGCGUUGCAGUAUUAUUCGAAUUUCAAACUGAAGCGCUAUGUGAAUUUCAGGCUUCAUAAUAAGCCUCUUAUCAGAGUAUCAAAUUAGCUGAAAAUCCCAAUGUACAAUCACAACCGUAUUCAUUUUCCAUUAUUUCCCCGGUUGCUGUCAUCUUUGUUGUUGAUAUCAAUGGAUACAUACAGUAUUUGCCUUCAUAAUCAUUUUUUUUGUUCCUCUUUUUUUUUUUUCAAGAGGAAUACGUGCACUUCCUAGUUCUUUGUGCUUGCGAUCAAGAUUUUUCCCUUGUUGUCAAGAGAAAAUGGCAAAAUAUUUACUUAUAAAUGCACUUUGCAGUAUAGAAUUUAUCAGUUAAUUUUAUGUACACAUAACAACAGGCAUGUUUUUGAAUAACCAGCACAAAUCAAUGAAUUUCUAGAAGCCACAAUAUUGAAAGUAGAGUUAAGGUCACAGCGCAAACUGUUUUCCAAUCGCUUUAUAUACGAUGCCGAUACGCGACUGAUUAUAAAACCAUGAGGUGAUGGAGACUACCUCAAAUAUUUAUUCGGAAAUUAUAGAAAACCCUAGGGGCGGCAUCUGUUUUACUUUCACAAAUAUGUAAUUGUGGAAUAUAGAAUUUAAACAUGAUACUUGUGCAUAUUUGUUCUUGCCUUGUUUACCGCCCCGUGGGGACCUCGAUAAGACGUAUGUAUGUAUGUAUGUAUGUUCCUAAGCCUGCUACGCAUUAAGUAAAGUUGCUCGAACGUAAACAACUUUUCGCGCACACCCACUAUAAACUUAUCAUCGGUGUUUGUGCGGCGAUGAGUGUCGAUGGAGUUCGUCGCCUCGGAUCCCAACUAUUCUACUCAACUCUCUUCGGUUCACAGGCAAUCGCCUGCUAGUUUAAUCGCUUAAUUUAAUCACGAAUGGAACUAUAAAUAGAAAAAUAAGAGUGAAUAGUAGUCAUUAAACUGUUUGCGUUCAAAGCUGGACGGCCUUUUUCGUACCCAUCAGUUGUAGGGUAUGCUAUUGUUGUAAGCUAGAAUGUGACGUAUAUCUUUUGUAUCUUGUAGCUAUUACAUUUAAAUAAAUCAAUUCUUAUGCUAGUAGUUUUUUGCAGAAUGUGUUUUAUAACACCUGAGUAACUUUUAGUCUAACCUCUAGAUUUCAGCACUAUCAGUUUUCUACGAGUAUUGGUAAAUUUAUUACUAUUCAUGUAAGCUGAGCUGAUUGUCGGCACUUGUUCUCCAUAUGAACACUUUUUUCCAUCUUUUUGACAGCCACUCGAAUGGCUGAGCACGUUUUCUGGUUUUAUUUUCGAUUUUUUUUACAAUAUUUUUACAUAACGUCUUGCGGCCGGCAUUAUUGACUGGUUUUCGCAUUCUGCUCGUACUUUUUAAUUUGCUAAGACGCAGAAAGACUGACUCGUAACCUCAAAAAGGGGUAUAUGUACAUAUAUGUAUGUAUAUACUGUAUCUCAGCCCCGAUCCCGCCUGCACUAUAACCUCAAACUGAUUGCGAGCCAUUCGACUGUUGACUUAGAGAACGAGAUUCGCUGAAUGUGGGUCUUUUUGCACGUUUGCCCGGCUCUCGGUCAUUGUUUGGCAUUAUUUUUACUUCUCUUUGUCGUGUUUUGUGCUAUUUCAGUUGCUGCUAUCGUGCCAGACCGAUUCUAAUGUCAUUUAAAUAGUAAUUUUGCACUGCAGGCGCCUCAGUUGUCUUUCAGCGAUCGCCCGAUGUAGUGCACUUACGCAGAUCCCAGAGUGGUGUUUUCUUAAUGACUGAAAAACUGAAAAACAUUGGAUACUUGAGGCUCUUUUUAUAG